CAAGAGGGGCAUCUGAUCACAUUCAUGAGCAAAGCGUUGGCCCCCGCUACCAAGGACUGCCAACUUAUGAAAAAGAGUAUCUCGCAGUGGAAUUACAAUUCAACCUGCAAAAGUUUGUCUAUGACACAAACAUCUACUAAAUUUUCAGACGGAGCAGCCGACAUGUGCAAAAGUAAUAUGGUGCAUUUCUAAUGAUCUUUUGUCUUGCUCUAAAACUACCUGUCUACCUUCAUGUGGCACAAGAUUUUGGUCAGAAUGCGACCGCUGAUAGUGCAAGAUCAGAUCACCCAUUUGAGGAGCUCUAUGUAGCCAUGGAGGAGGCUCUAGUACAUUAGCCUCGAAGUGUAUGCCUCUGCCCCACCGGUGGCACCACGGUGGACGGGUCUGCAGUCUCUGCACACACAAGGAACAUUGCCAGCACAGAUGUGAAUAUCCUUACUGUUGAUUAGAGACCCUCCUUUCAGUAUGUACUCCAUCAAUACUUAUCCAUUCAAUCUAAGGAUUUGAUAACGUAGAGACCCUAUUGUCCAAAAGCACCGAUGGUAAUAAAACACCAUGAAGUCUAUUUGAAUUAAACGAGCCCUCAAAAUUUAGCAGCCGAUUUGUAUGAUAUACUCCCUCCGUCCUAAGUUCUAGAUACAUCUCUUUUUAUCCAUUUUGAUGACAAGUAUUUUAGGACAGAGGGAGUACUAAGAAUGGCACCAUGAUUCAAAGAAAAAAAUAUAAGAGUUCGUGUGAAGAAGCCUCACAUUGAUGUCCUUCCCACCAGAGCUCCCACUAUGCCAGGAC
rnacentral:lncRNA from 1 species